GGCGCUAUAGUGUAGUGGUUAUCACUCGAGAUUCUGAUGUUUACAGAUGUUCUCGAAACCCAGGUUCGAUCCCUGGUAGCGCCU